rnacentral:lncRNA from 1 species
UUAGUAUGUAUUAAUCAUAUAUAUGUAUUAAUCAUAUUUCUAUGAAAAUAUGCAGUAUGUUUUUUUUUUUUUUUUUUUGAUAACCGUAGUGUAAUCCCAAAGGCUUUCUAGAUCCAAGGACUAAUCACUACGAGGCCCGCAGGAUCCGCGUUUUCUUACCACUUAAGGCGCCCCGGGUGGCCAAGGAGAAUCGAACCCAGGGCGGUACUCACAGCUGUGAGCCCUUUACCACUAGGCCAAGACCACUUGGUUAAUUACAACUAUAGGUUUAUAUUUAUGUGUACCAACACGAAUAUGUAUUAUAUAUGACUAAAUGAUUGCUAAGUCUACCAACCAUUUGGAAAUUUUUCUAAAAGACUUCGUUAAACAAAGAGACAAACUGCUAAACUUAAAUCAACUAUGCAAUUAAAAAUCGAAAAUGGGUUCCCAUUUUGUCAUAUACUUUGCCAAAAUGAAAGGUCUGUUAUUAUUAUCAAGUUCUUUAUAUUCUUCUUCAUUAGGUUGUGUGGUGUCACUAAGUUAAGAUUAUCAAAGAGGAAUCUUUUUCUCAGAAGGCAUAUCUGUUUUUUUUUCUUUUUUUUGUAAGUGUGAGUAAAGCUUGAUUCUUUUUCGGUUUGUCAACACAUAAGGAGUUUUGCUACUGCUACUAAUGACGAUGCUGGUGAUGGUACGAUCACUCCAGUGCUCUUAAAACAAGUGUCUAUGUGCUGUUGUUGUUCUUGUUUCAUAUUUAUGUUUCAUAUUCUGUUUUAGUGGUUUAGGUGUGUGUUGUUGUUGCUCUUGUCCUGUUGUAGUUGUUUAAGUGAUGAAAAGCUUGUGACUUUUGGUUUCUCUUGUCAAAGCUGCUCCACAGACCAAACCUAUGGAUUCUCCACAGCUCUUGUCAAAAUUUAUUAUUCGUCGUUGUUCUAGUUUUGGAGAAUUGAGUUUAUAUUUUUGUUCCUGCAGGUCAUUUAUUGGAUUAAGCUACCAGGACCUGCA